UACGUAGGGUGCAAGCGUUAAUCGGAAUUACUGGGCGUAAAGCGUGCGCAGGCGGUUCUAUAAGACAGAUGUGAAAUCCCCGGGCUCAACCUGGGAACUGCAUUUGUGACUGUAGAGCUGGAGUACGGUAGAGGGGGAUGGAAUUCCGCGUGUAGCAGUGAAAUGCGUAGAUAUGCGGAGGAAAACCGAUGGCGAAGGCAAUCCCCUGGACCUGUACUGACGCUCAUGCACGAAAGCGUGGGGAGCAAACAGG
rnacentral:rRNA from 1 species